rnacentral:rRNA from 1 species
AUGCCACUUCACUUAUGGUGCAAUACCCGAGCUUGUAUCGGAUUGCUAGUCAUAAACUUUUCACAAUCGCAUAGGUCUUGGGUCAAGCAAACACUGAUAUUUCUCUCUGUCCUAUUAGGGCGUCGCCUCGCACGUUUGGAGCACACUCAGCUGUCAAAUGAACCAGACAGGUUUUGAGGAAACUUGCAUGAGAAUGGUAGGUUUUCAGUCAAGUCCUUAUAUGAGGCGACUGCCCACAUCGGUGUUCAUGCUGAUAAUAAUAAUAAAAUGAAUCUCAAACUACCUCUUCGAGUGCAGAUAUUCCUCUGGCUUUUAAACAAAGGUCUGAUCUUGACUAGGGAUAAGCUGGCACACAACAAUUGGCAAGGUAACAUGACCUGUGUCUUUUGGCAACACGACGAGUCUAUUAAACACCUUUUUUGUGUAAUUUUGCUCGUGUAG